CGAUCAAGCCAAGGUCCGCAUCCCACCCAGGAGAUUAUGCCAAGGUCCGUAUCCCACCCGGGCGAUUAAGCCAAGGUCUGCAAUUAUUAUCCCACCCGGGCGAUCAAGCCAAGGUCCACAUCCCACCCGGGCGAUUAAGCCACGAUCAGCAAUCAUUAUCCCACCCUGGCAAUCAAGCCAAGGUCCGCAUCCCACCCGGGCGAUUAAGCCAAGGUCAGCAAUCAUUAUCCCACCCUGGCAAUCAAGCCAAGGUCCGCAUCCCACCCGAGCUAUCAAGCCAAGGGCCACAUCCCACCCCGGCAAUCAAGCUAAGGUCCGCAUCCCACCAGAGCAAUCAAGCCAAGGGCCACAUCCCACCCCGGCAAUCAAGCUAAGGUCCGCAUCCCACCAGAGCAAUCAAGCCAAGGGCCACAUCCCACCCUUGCAAUCAAGCUAAGGUCCGCAUCCCACCCGGGCAAUCAAGCCAAGGUCAACAUCCCACCCGGGCAAUCAAGCCAAGGUCAGCGAUCAUUAUCCCACCCGGGCAGUUAAGCCAAGGUCAGCAUCCCACCCGGACAGUCAAGCCAAGGUCAGAAACCCUCCCCAUUCCUCCGGGCUUGGGACCGGCUCUUAGUUGGGCUGGCUUGCCCCCCAAGAGGCUGGGUUAACAGUUUUGUUACCCCUUUCUUCACCUCUUUCUACGUACAACAACUUUUGUUUUCACAGUCUCCGUAAAAGAUGCAGUGGAAGGUUCACGGCACCUUCAGUUGUCUUUCAACAACUGUAAUUUCUUGUUUCUUUACUAACUUCAUCUGUUUCGUUAAUGACUUCCCUUUCCAACGUCUCCGCCUUCUGUUUUGAGGGUAAUUGUGCUUCUUCCUCAAAGUGUGUCCGCGAUUCGUCAUCACUCAACUAUACGUUGUUCUCCUUAGA